GGCGGCGUGCCUAAUACAUGCAAGUAGAACGCUGAAGGAGGAGCUUGCUUCUCUGGAUGAGCUGCGAACGGGUGAGUAACGCGUAGGUAACCUGCCUGGUAGCGGGGGAUAACUAUUGGAAACGAUAGCUAAUACCGCAUAAGAGUAGAUGUUGCAUGACAUUUGCUUAAAAGGUGCAAUUGCAUCACUACCAGAUGGACCUGCGUUGUAUUAGCUAGUUGGUGGGGUAACGGCUCACCAAGGCGACGAUACAUAGCCGACCUGAGAGGGUGAUCGGCCACACUGGGACUGAGACACGGCCCAGACUCCUACGGGAGGCAGCAGUAGGGAAUCUUCGGCAAUGGACGGAAGUCUGACCGAGCAACGCCGCGUGAGUGAAGAAGGUUUUCGGAUCGUAAAGCUCUGUUGUAAGAGAAGAACGAGUGUGAGAGUGGAAAGUUCACAACUGUGACGGUUUCUACCA
rnacentral:rRNA from 1 species